GUUGUCCACAGUGUCGCCCCAUUCGUUUUUCAACACUUCGAAGCAGCAGUGGCGCAUCGUGUUGUAGCAGGGCUGGCAGAGGGACUAUGUGAGCCUGCUGCUUACGGCGUUCUGAGUGAGCGAUUGCUGCCGACGCAAAGUGCCAAGGUUUCUCCUUUUAUCUUUGCAGGGCUCUAUCUUGGCCAGUUCCUUGGAAUAAUCGCGACUGGUUUCAUCACACAAAGGCUGUUCUGGCAGACACCAUUUUACUUUUUCGGUAAGUCUGAAUCUGAAUCAAAUAUGACAUUCUGCGACGUCAUACAAAAACUUUACAUUACCCUUAUGUCACGUGUCGCUAGGCUACUGACU